AAACAGCAACAUGAAUUCGUAGAUGACGAGUAGGAUGCCAAAGCCAGAGAUGACUGUGCUCUUGAAGAAAUGCUGGGUAGAGCAAAAAGAUGAUCAUGGGAACAGCAAUGGCAGUCAUGUAAAAAUCUUUUUACCGAAGAAGCUGCUUGAAUGUCUACCAAAAUGUUCAAGUCUACCGAAAGAGAGGCAUCGCUGGAACACUAAUGAGAGAUCUUGAUGCAGACGUCCUUUUGGAUUUCUUUUUAAUAAUGUGUGACCCUUCACCUUUGAUCCCUUGACCUGCAUUACCUUGGUUUGGCUUAUCUGGUUUUCAGCUCUUCUAGACAUUGGAAAUUCCAUUUUGUUUUUGUUUUCUCUGGAUUCUUUCCCACAAGACUGAAGUGAAUUCAGCAUGGAUUAUUGGGAAGAGUACCUUGACUGGGAAUAAAGAUAAUUGCCAUCCCUUUCAGACUUGCUGAUGAUUUCUUUUAGUCAUUCACCUGCACUGUAUCUGUUUCCUCAACUGUAAAAUAUGGGUAAUUACCUCCUUUGUAAAAAUGUUUUGGGGGUCUACUGGUAAUUAUAUAAAUGAAGUGCUAAUUGCAAUGAUUAUUAUUUGGACCCAGUCUAGGUCUGGGCGAUGUUCCUGUUGUGAUGAACAUAUGAAACAAAUACUGCAAUUCACGUUUUUCUAUCCCUUAAAUGGGACCUGGAAGGGGGAAGGUGCUACAGUGCCUGCGUAUAAAUUCCUAAUGAGAAGUGCUACUUCUUUUUCACUCAAGACAAUCCAUUAACUUCCUGUCUUCCUUUAUCGUCAUUCAUUAGCAGGGGAGUAGGCUGGUGAGAUGCUAAGAAAUUACUAAUUCAGUAGUUGGUUCCAUAUGUAAUUUGUAACACACGCUUAUGUUCCUGGCAUCCACUUUUCCUCUUGAAGGUCCAUAGAAGAAAGAUUGGGAUACCGAUUGGAUGGGGCCAAUCUGUAUGCCACCCCGUGGCCUCCGUUCCUUUGGAAGUUUUGAGCUUGACGGAAAGAAAAGUGCCUUUAAAGCUGUUGGUCUCUUUUCCUUUUCCAUGUAAAAGACUGCAGCUGUUAGGUAAACCUUGCAAGUUUUCAGUUAUCUAAUAUUUUAUUUGCCUUUCUCUCCUCCAUUUAUUUAGGACACAUUUUCCUUGUAGUUGAAUAGUGGAAGAGGAAUUGAUAUUCUUUCAGGUAAACAUGGAGUGUUCUCAUCCAGAAAAUAUUGCUGCUCCUGCCGUGGAUUAUGCUGUAGUUUCUGACAGUAGUAAUAAUGAGUAAUGUCUUGCAUCAGUUCAAGAUGAGAGGCUCCUACCCUAUGCAAGCCUUCCCCUGAGCGCAAAUUCUGUGGCACAGUAGCAACAGCAAAGGUGUAGCACGGAACCAGUGAACGUAGAUUGGUGCCUGCAUGACGGUAUAAGGAGCCUGAAGGAAGACCUCAGGAAAGCUGAUGUUCUGGGACUGCUCAGGAUCAACUGAAUGUAACUGGCAAACUGUCCAAUGGCUUUUACCACUCCUCACGCAUACAGUGAUUAUUGGGAUCGCUCGUUACGAGUUUCACUGUGUUGGCCUUCACUAUGAGAAGGUCUCAUAGUUUGGCACCAACAAACCCUCUAUCUGCUCGUCUGCUUUCCCAUAUGUUUACGGAACAUUUAGACCGUUAUAAACUGUAAAAGCCAUUCAUCCAGGCCUCUAACCUCUUUCCUAAAAUACUUCCUGUAAAUUAACCUUUCUAUUUAGAUUCAGCAGAAAGACUGAUUAAAAAUAAUGGAGAAAGCUCUCUCUAAUUCUUAGCUGUAAAAAUUUGUCUUCAAAAUGAUUUAAAUAAAAUAGGUUUUCUUUUGUGUAGUAUGUCUUAGUUCUAAAAUACUUUUCUUCAACAAAGCCAGUUAGUUUGUUUCCCCUGUGCUUCGUGCUUCUGACAGAACGCUGCAGAAGUUAAGUAAGAUCGUCUUAAAAAACACAAAGUAGAAGUCCAGGGGGAACUAUGGGCAGUUCUCGUUCACCUCUCCUUUCCAUUCCCCCCCACCACCUUGCUGCUUUCUGAUACUUGCCAUGUUUUUAAAAAAAAAGAAAAAAAAAAGUAAACAGAAUUAUAACUAAAAUGCUUAUCUUUGGGAAAACAAAAUGAAUGGGAAGAUUGAAACUAAUUUUGCUUUGCAGAAGAUGGGUGUUCUGGUUCGUUCUUUUAAUCGCAGUGAGAUAAACUGAUCGAGCUUCAUUAUUAUUCUAGGUUUUUUUAAAUCUACUAGUCAUUAAAUAAGAAUACAUCACUGUUAAACUUGGCAACUGAAAUCCUUGUGCAUUCUGUGCAAGUCCCUGAGAGAGUUCACUAAUGGCCUUGUUAGUAUGAGUACACAUGCUUUUCCUUUACAAGAUUUUGAGAUGUCAAAUUUUGGAUGAAAGACUGUGUUCAGCAGCUAGGAUGCCUUAUGUUUUAGUGGGGUUUUUUUUCCAGUCAUCUUAAAUUGUGUGAUUUGAAUCUUUUGAUGGGACAGAUCACCACGAAGCUUACCUAAUAAAUAAUGUGGAAGGAUAGUCCUCAACGGUGGUGUUUGAGCUUUGCCUCAUUGAAUGGAUGAUGAAAGCAAGCAUUUCUCUUUUGUUUAUGCAUAUUAAAUUGGCUACAGGUUAUUACAGAUAAACAAAUUUACAUGCUAUUUCUGUACAGGUAGAGGCUUUUUGCUUCACAGAUGAAUUUUGACUCAGCAGUAACCAGUUUCAGUGUCAGUAUUUUGGUUACCAAGCAGUAUGUAUUUGGAUAUUAGAAAAUAAGCAUAAAUUCUUCUGCAGAUGAACUUAUCUCAGUUGCAUCACUGCUGUGACCUUUUAACCAGUAUUAUUUCAAGUAAUUACCAUUAAGCAUAAUCAAUAAGACUUUACAUCUUCUAUUGGAUAUCUAACCUCACACACAAAAAUUCCUCCUGGCACCUUAAAUGAAAAAUAAACAAAAUCGAGCAUGCAACAUGCUAAAUAGAAUAAUAACACUAAAUGAAAAUAUUUUACCAGGAAAUCUGGGGCAAGAGCUGUCUUCUAAGCCUAUUAGACUUGUCAGCAAAAAGGCUUUGGAAGGAGUUCUUUGGGCGAUACUAUAGUUGAAAGAUUUGUUCAAAUUUCUGAGUAUUUUUCUCUUCUUGAGCAGUUUAAAAGAAAUCCCUCCCUCCCUCCUUAAAUCGAUUACCUCUCAACAUCAGAACUCCCUGGCAUUAAGUACUAGUUAAGCUGCUCUGGUGCUGAUUUGACUUUGCCUUUCUGUUAAAUGUAAAACAGUGCUUAAUCUUCUCAUUUAGAUGUUUUAAUAGAAAACAAAAUGUUUAACCUGCCUUGGUUGCAUCCAAAUUUUUAUUUAAUCCUUGGGAACAUUUAUAAUAAACAGAAAACAUGUUUUUUGUUUAAACAAAAUAUUAUCAGGCAUCUGAAAGCUGUUCUAGCCAUUUUCGUAUGUGUGUUUUAAGUAGGGAUAUUUUCUGGUUGGAAAUUACAUACGUAAAAUGCCUGUUAUUUUAGGCAGUGACUAAGUAUGGGCAGCUAUAUAAAAUGUGGCAGAAGGAAGCUGUUUUUCUGUGCGUCACGGCAGUAGGUGUAACAGCUCUGGAAGGUGAACUUGGAAUCUUCAUGGCAUGAUGCACUCGGUGCUUUUGCUUGUUUCUCACUUUAGUGCCACGCGAUUUAGUAUCGAGUCAUAGGCUUACUGCCACCUAUCCCGUUCUCGCCUCAGUUCCAGCAGCAUCUGGGCCUUCUGGAAAGGGCCCUUGUCCAAGUGUUGAUAGGCUUAAUCUCGGUUAGCUUGUUGUAGGAUCUUGAUGCGAGAUCGCAGCUCGAGGUGAUACGGCUAUGGAGACAAAGCUUGCGUAACACUGCUUGAUAAUAAGAUCUUUUUAAAAUUGUGUUUUUAAGUGUGUGUACCCUGAGGGGAAGGAGAAAUUGGGACAUAAAGAGCAAACCAGGGGUAGCCUGGGCUCACGCUGGAGGAGGAUUGUGCUGCUGGUUUCGCAGCCUCG